CAUUGCACUUAAUAGUGGGGC
rnacentral:miRNA from 1 species